UACAGAGGUCCCGAGCGUUGUUCGGAUUCAUUGGGCGUAAAGGGUGCGUAGGCGGCGAAGUAAGUCAGAUGUGAAAUCCCGGAGCUCAACUCCGGAACUGCAUUUGAUACUGCUUUGCUAGAGUACUGGAGAGGAGACUGGAAUUUACGGUGUAGCAGUGAAAUGCGUAGAGAUCGUAAGGAAGGCCAGCGGCGAAGGCGAGUCUCUGGACAGUUACUGACGCUGAGGCACGAAGGCCAGGGGAGCAAACGGG
rnacentral:rRNA from 1 species